AUGAACGUAUCGCACGUAGCAGGGUUGGAAACGGGCUCUAGCUAGAUAACCACUUUGUGCAGAAUUAACGUAUUUUUUUCUUUAAAAUAGACUCUUUGCUUCGAGAAAUCCAUUUAUACAGCUGUGAUAUCGAGUUCAGGAUUAACUCCUGAAGCAGUCAUCAUGGAGGCCUGCCAAAUGUCCUGUUCGUUUUAUGGGUGCAAGAGGACCUACAAUAAUCCAGAAGCACUGAAUGCUCAUCUUCAGGACCAUCAGAAGAACACGGCUCAAUCUCUUCCAGGGAAAGCUUUCCUGUGUUCUCAAAUUGGAUGUGACGGCUCAUUUAACAACAUGCAGCAGCUCAUGGAGCAUAUGAGACACCACUACAAGCCAAAUUGCUUUUUUCUGUGUGAGAGCUGCAGGGCCAAGCUGCGUUCCUACCGCACUCUCCUCAAACACCUGCAGACCUGUGCUAAAGUUGCUAAAAACAAGGCUGCAGUAAAGACGGAGCCUGGACCGAUACUUGAUUCAGACCCCAAUGGUGUUUCCCUCACUGACAUGAUGGAUCCAUCUGGACCGCUCUUGGCCCCUAAUUUGAAAGAGGAGAUGGAUUCUAUGCCACUGCUAUCAACAAAUUCAACACUGGCAAACAUGCCAGUAACCCAGCAGUCUCCAGAAAAUGGUGCUUUCAUUAACCUUAUUUCAGGCCCUGCAUCUCUACCUGUUCCAACUCUAAAUCCUGCCCCAAGCCAAAACCUUCCCAGCCAACCAGAAUCCCCCUACAGCCCCUUUCCACCCACCCUGUCUCCAGUUAACCCAGUCUUCAUGGCGGAUCAGGGCCUUCAGCAGCAGCAGAGGUCUCCGAGGUCUGGUCCUCCCAGUCUGCCUGCUUCACCACCUCUGCCGUCUUCGCCAGGAUCAAACGCCGUCUGGAGGAAGAAUCAAGACCCGUCCGGGCCCCUUAUGCACAGAUGGAACUCUCCGAGCAGUCAGACUUUAAAUAGAGAUGAAGUCCAGGUCAGUCCUUCAACUGCCGGAUCCUAUGGGAGCACACAAGAGGGCGAUACAGUUGCCUACAAUGCGGCCACUGCACCCCAGACCGGGGGGAGAUGACUGCUCACAUUGAGGGCCAGCACAAAAACCCGGGAGGCAAGGCUAACAGCGAUCACGAUGCAGAGAUUGGCACUGCUGCUUUACUGGCGAAAACGUCAUUGCACUCUGAGAACUCGACAUACACGCAGCUCUAGCAUGAAUCAAGAUGCUAAACCUGCUAAUUUGCAAAGAACUUUUGAUGUUGUUCUUUAUACAGAGACAGAAAAAGGGUUUCCAUUUGAUCAACAGAGUGGACUUCAGGAUUCUCCAUGGUCUGGAUCUCUCACCAUCAUUAUUCAUAAGCGUGAUGUGCUGCAUGCCUUGUCUUUUGUUAGCAUUCAAGUCUAGGCUAAGAAAAUGCAAUGCUAGUUUUCACUGAAUAAUAUGUAAUGACAUAUGUAAUUUCAGUAAUGUAAUACCUACUUUGUUUUUUAUCAGAAGUCUGUAUCAACAAGAGAUUUUCUUCAAGACAAUUACAUCAUGGCUUCUUGUUAUUAUGUUAUAACAUUGUCAUAUUUACAGUUAAUUUGGGUUCAAUCAGUAAUAAAUUAUUUUGUUUGUAGACAAGUGUUUCUGUAGUGUUUACAGUUA